rnacentral:rRNA from 1 species
GACGAACGCUGGCGGCGCGCUUAACACAUGCAAGUCGAGCGAGAACCUGGGCUUCGGCCCUGGGGACAGCGGCGAACGGGUGAGUAACACGUGGGUAAUCUGCCCUUGACAUCGGGAUAGCCCGGGGAAACCCGGAUUAAUACCGAAUAGCCUCCGGAGCCUUCGGGCGCCGGAGAAAAGGUAGCUUCGGCCUCCGGUCGAGGAUGAGCCCGCGGCGGAUUAGCUUGUUGGCGGGGUAACGGCCCACCAAGGCGACGAUCCGUAGCUGGUCUGAGAGGACGAUCAGCCACACUGGGACUGAGACACGGCCCAGACUCCUACGGGAGGCAGCAGUGGGGAAUCUUGCGCAAAUGCGGGAAACCGUGACGCAGCGACGCCGCGUGGGGGAAGAAGGCCUUCGGGUUGUAAACCUCUUUCAGGAGGGACGAAGCUACUCGGGUUAAUAGCCCAGAGGGUGACGGUACCUCCAGAAGAAGCCCCGGCUAACUACGUGCCAGCAGCCGCAGUAAGAC